CAAUUCACCUUGUCCACA
rnacentral:siRNA from 1 species